ACAUUUUAUAGGGUUUUCGUCGUUUCUCAAUGUAACAAACAUCGUGCCAAAUUUUAUAUAACGUGUUCAGGGUAUAAAAAAUAUGAUCAUCAAAAAGGAAGGACUCUAUUUACUCAUAAGCUUAGUGUUCAAACCAAAAUUAUGGUUGGUUAUGGACGAAAAUAAACAUUGGAGCAUAACUCGGGUAUAAUUCAAAUAUUGUCCAUAAAAUCAUUGAAUUUUUUAUCAGUUAAUUUAAUGAAUAACCAAUAUUUUACAAAUUGAAUUGAGAAUCUAAUAAAAAGUGCACAAAUACUCACAAAAUCAAUAGCCGGCAGUUCAAGCAGGGAUGGUUAGUCUAAUUGUGAUAUUUGGUUUAGGGUUCCUAUGCGGCUAUUUUUUCGCCACAGUAUGUGAAGGAAAUUAAGUUGACAUGUAGCUGUUAUUAGUUGACUGUAAUAAUCAUGGCUAUGAAGUAUUUGAGCUUGUUUUCAUUCUAAUUCGUAUUGACAUAUUCUAUUUUUUGACAUUUCGCUUUGAAAAUUAAAUAAAAUUUCAAAGAAUCAAAAUUCUGUUGGCAAAAUUCAAAGCAUGAUGCAAAGAAAACUCUGCAUCUUCACAUUUGGCUUAUUUGUUGGGUAUAUUAUUUCGCCGAGGAAACGAUAAGCAGAAAAUUGUUUAAAAUUAAAUUAUGUAUACUUUUUAUUUAAAUGGACAACUCAUUUCAAUAGUUCUGCUAAAUUUCUUAUUAAUUGAACUCUAAUCAAAACAUAAAACUAAAUCAAUUUGUACUAAAGAAAUAACUAAAACAAUUUUUUAGCAAAAAUAUUCAAGCAAGUCACGUCGAUUGAUAAAUAAGGCUCUUUGUAAUGACCGAACCGUUGAUCAUUUUUUGUUUGGGCACUUUGGCUGGAGUCAUAUUGGUUAAUAUUCUACAAGGAAAUCGUCUGGAAGGAAACAGAAUGCUUGCAGAUCGGCUGAUAAUAUUUAUUUUUGGUGUUGCCAUUGGCUAUUUUAUUGUGCCGAAAUUGUAAUUUCCAUGUGAAGCUAAAUUCAAAAAUGUAUUCAAUUACAAAUACAACAACAAUGCAAUGAGAAUAUGUUAUUUAAGUAAUUAGCAAAUAAUGGAGUUUGUGGUAAUAAUAUGUGGGAUGACAAGUGCAAUGCUUCGAGUCAUCAAGGAUGAAUAAUAAAUGCUGAACUAAAAGUUUUCAAAUCUACAAUUUGUUUUUUUUUUGUUGUUGUAUUAGUAUAUAGUUUCAGAGAAUACUGCUGAGAUGGUAGUAUUUGGUCAGAUAUAGAUUGACUUAAGUUUCCACAGAAAAAAGGAAAGGACUACUUCACUCGAAAAACAAAUUAAUGUAGGCUUUGCUUUGUAAAUAAAUUGAAUAAUCAAAUUAAAUGUCAAAACCUUAAGCGUUUUAAUAGUUUUUGUGAAAAUCUGUUGAAGUUUUUUAAAGAGGAUCUCUAAAUUUUAUCCGAAACUACACUUGAUACUCUCACUUUAGAUUAGAACCAUGGAUAGAAUAAUCCUAUUCAGCCUUGGCGUUUUAGUGGGCUACUAUAUUUUGAGAAGAAUGUAAUUUGUGUAUUAUUCAUGAAUAUAAUGGAAUAAAUUUCAAUCAAUGCUGCUGCUGUGUGCCUGUUCUAAAAGAAUAAUGUGUUAAAUUUUGUUUUAUGUACAUAUAGAGGAGAAUAAAAAUUCGCUGUAAUUAUUAUGUGAAAAAUUAAAAAUCUCUCUCUCUCGUUUAUAUCUGAUUAUCCAGGAUAUGGUAACAAUUAAGCACAACUUUAACAAUUGAAUGAACUACUCUUUCAGCUAUCAGUGAAAAUGCCCUACCUGCGCACCUCAAAAAAGAAUGCCGGCAAAAUUAAUUGCUUUUCAGUACAAAAUUGUAUACCUGUCAAUCAUUCAAGAGUAUAGAGGUGAGAGCACAUUGUAUUUUCAGCUCAGAAACAUUUUUACGUUUAAAGACAGCAGAACCUAAAUCAGUAUUAAUUUCUUGAGUACUACUUUACAACCAUUACAUAUCUAUCAGUACCAAAACAUAACAGUACAAUUCGUACACAAGCAACCCGCACUCCACAGCAUCUUUCAAAUCGAAAUUGCUUACAUUUUUCAAUAUGAUAUUGUGACAGAACAGUGGAAGAAGAGAAUUAGCACUCACUAUAAGGUCAUACACGAAAUUAAAACGAGAUAUCAAAAGCUUACUGAAAGGUAUGCGCAAGGGAAAACUAAGCGAUUAUUAGAGUUUAGAAUAUGCUAGAUAUUUAUUUGCAAUUAUUUUAAUCGAAAUAAAAAAAUAUAUAUGACAUUUUACUUUUACUAAAUCUUUUUAAAUUAAUAUCUGUCACAGG